GGGGGUGUAGCUCAGUGGUAGAGCAUUUGCUUUGCUUACAAUAUGUGCCAGGUUCAAUCCCCAACAUCUCCU